GACGACGGCUGGCGGCGUGCCUGACACAUGCAAGUCGGACGGUUCUUGUACCUUCAAGCUUGCUUGUUGGUGCAAGGAUAGUGGCGGACGGGUGAGUAACGCGUGAACAUCUACCCAUUGGAGGGGGACAACCCGUCGAAAGGCGGGCUAAUACCGCGUAAGCCGCGAGGUGAGAGGCUGCCUAUUGGUGGCCGCCGAUGGAUGGGUUCGCGUCCUAUCAGCUGGUUGGUGGGGUAACGGCCUACCAAGGCGAAGACGGGUAGCCGGUCUGAGAGGAUGGCCGGCCACACUGGAACUGAGACACGGUCCAGACUCCUACGGGAGGCAGCAGUGGGGAAUCUUGCGCAAUGGGGGAAACCCUGACGCAGCAACGCCGCGUGAGUGAGGAAGGCCUUCGGGUCGUAAAGCUCUGUCAGAUGGGAAGAAAUGGGUGGGGGCUAAUAUCGCCCAUCCUUGACGGUACCAUCAGAGGAAGCACCGGCUAACUCCGUG
rnacentral:rRNA from 1 species